UACAGAGGUCCCGAGCGUUGUUCGGAUUCACUGGGCGUAAAGGGUGCGUAGGUGGUGAGGUAAGUCGGAUGUGAAAUCUCCGGGCUCAACCCGGAAAUGGCAUUGGAAACUACCUUGCUCGAGGGUUGGAGGGGGGACUGGAAUGCUUGGUGUAGCAGUGAAAUGCGUAGAUAUCAAGCGGAACACCAGUGGCGAAGGCGAGUCCCUGGACAACUCCUGACACUGAGGCACGAAAGCUAGGGGAGCAAACAGG
rnacentral:rRNA from 1 species